rnacentral:rRNA from 1 species
CGUGUAGGCGGCUCUUUAAGUCUGGUGUGAAAGCCCGGGCUCAACCCCGGAAGUGCAUCGGAAACUGGCGAACUUGAGUACGGGAGAGGAAAGUGGAAUUCCGAGUGUAGGGUGAAAUCCGUAGAUAUUCGGAGGAACACCAGUGGCGAAGGCGGCUUUCUGGACCGAUACUGACGCUGAGACGCGAAAGCGUGGGGAGCAAACA